AUGGACUGAUAUCUGAAAAAGAGGCUCUUGUUAUAGACAUAUGCAGAGUUCCUUCUCUGCCUCUGCUAGAUCACUGAGUUUGAUGCUGUUCGGCUAUGGAGCCUAACCAGGUUUGUGGUUGUGCUUUGGAGCGUUGUUUUUCAGCAACACAUGGUCGCUUGUUUUCCUUUGUUGCAUCGUUGCCAUGCAGCAGAAUCUUAUGCUGAAGAUGGCGCGUACCUUGCAGUGUGGCACUCUGUUUCCCACAUGGUAGUGUUCUGCAAUGGAUAUAAAUAUGUAGUUCCUGAGCCUCCUCUUUGUUUUCUUUCAUCAAUAAGCUAGAAUUAUUUAGUUAUCCAGUCCUGUCUAGGUUCUAUAGAACUGGCUUAUUAUUGUUAUGAUCUGAGAGAUCGAUUUCCUACAGAGCUGAGUUCGGUUCCUGUUCUCUGAAUUCUUAGCACAACAUCAUCACGAGUCCUCGCUUUUUAUAUAUUUUUUCGAUCUUUGCUCACCUUACGAACUCCUGGGCACUUGUGCCUAGUUACCUCCUCAGAUUGCUUCAUACAUUUGUUGAUUCACAGUUGAUCAUUCGGAAUUUCUGCCUCUGUUUUCAUCGCACCGUGGUACCUUCAAAAAAGUGUGAUUUGGAUUCAGUUUCUGGAGGUUCAAUCCUAGAGAAUGACUGGGUGAUUUGACAGUUGGUUUGGCCCUGUGUUCACGGCAACCACAAGCGCAUAUAUCUCCGGUCAUAACCUUACCAGAGAAUAGUAAUCACUUCACUGUGAGUCUGGGGAUUGGGAUACCAAGGGUGUGGCCUCAAAGCACUGGUGGAUUUGAUAUUUUUCUCACACGAUGACCCCGAGUCUGAAGUCUUUGUACGCAUAUGUUCGUCCACCGACAGCUCUACAAUGUAUUGCUACCUCUAAGGUCUGAAGGCAACAAACAACACCAACCUGCAACCUGUCAUUUUUACCAACACUCCAACUGCACGAAAUGGUGCUGCAGAAACUCUUAUGCGUCUCAGUUUUCCUGCUGAUAUGCACAUCAACCCGGAAGCAGAAGCCCUUCUCCGAUGGAAAUCCACUUUGAUUGGCAGCACCAAGUCACUAUCCUCAUGGUCGAUUGCAACCUCUACCUGCUCUUGGUUCGGCGUCACCUGUGAUGCUGCCGGACAUGUUACCGAGCUCCACCUUCCCGACGCGGGGCUCCAUGGUACGCUUCAUGCCUUCUACUCUGCAGCGUUCCAAACCCUCACUGUGCUCGACCUUUACAACAACAACCUUGUUGGCGCUGUCCCAGCAAACAUCUCCCUAUUUCUCACACUUACCGUUCUUGACUUGAGCCGUAACAAUCUUGUUGGUGCCAUCCCCUACCAACUCAGUCACCUCCCAAAGAUUGUUAAGUUAGAUUUGGGAAAUAACCACUUGAGCAACCCAGAAUAUGCCAACUUCUUACCUAUGUCCAGUUUGAAGUUGUUAUCUCUAGCUAAUAAUAAUCUCAGUGGUGCCUUCCCACAAUUCAUUAUCAACUCCACGAAUGUGGGGAUGAGAUCCCUCGAUUUAUCUGGUAACACCUUCUCAGGGCCGUUACCAAAUUCACUGCCAGAGAUGGUCCCAAGGUUGAGGUGCCUGAAUCUAUCCGCUAAUGGAUUCUUUGGCUCGAUAUCUCACUCGUUCUCAAGGCUCCAAAAGCUCGAGACACUACGUCUCGAGAAUAAUAAUCUCACAGGAGGAAUUCCAGAGGAGCUUGGUAUGAUGUCUGCACUACGAUGGCUGAUCCUUGGCAACAACCCACUUGGCGGGUCAAUCCCUGCCUCACUCGGGCAGCUCCAUUCCCUCCAGUAUCUCUACAUAAAUGAUGCUGAUUUGGUUUCUACUCUUCCACCUGAGCUGGGGAACCUUACUAGUCUCGAGUACAUGUUCCUGAAAGGGAAUCAUUUAUUUGGAAGCUUGCCACCAUCAUUUGCCAGGGUGCAAACAAUGGUGUAUUUCAGUGUAGGGGGCAACAAUAUCAAUGGUACCAUCCCCUCAGAGAUGUUUACGAACUGGACAAACCUUAAGUACUUCAAUGUUGCAAACAACUUGUUGGUUGGAAGCAUCCCAUCGCAGCUCAGGGUGCAAAGAAUGGUCUAUUUCAGUGUAGGGGACAACAAUAUCAACGGUACCAUCCCCUCAGAGAUGUUUACGAACUUGACAAACCUUAUGUACUUCAAUGUUACAAACAACUUGUUAGCUGGAAGCAUCCCAUCGCAGGUCAGCAACUCCGAGGCGUUAUUUCUUCUCAGCCUCUCUGGAAACAACUUUACUGGCUCGAUCCCGGUGGAGAUGGGAAACAUGGUAAACUUGGAAUCGCUGGAUUUGGCCAAGAAUCACCUUACUGGAACAAUACCACCUACCAUCGGCAAUUUAACAAAGUUGCGCUUACUUGACAUCAGUGACAACCGUCUCGAGGGUGAGCUUCCUGCGACCAUCUCCUAUCUGGUGAAUCUUUUUGUUCUCUCCUUGUCUGGAAACAAGUUCACUGGUAUCACUCCUAAUGUCCACAGCAGGCAGUCGACGAUUAUUAAUGUGUCCGACAACAACAACAGCGUCUUUGGAGAAUCAUUGUCUGCCUAUUGUAACCUAAUAAUGCUGCAAGUCCUGGAUCUAUCAAAGAAUCAAGUAUUUGGAGAUCUCCCAGGUUGCUUGUGGAACUUGGUAGGACUGGAAUCCUUGGAUUUGUCGAGCAAUGCUUUUGGUGGGGAAGUUCCAACCUCGGCUCACUGUAGUUCUUCGCUAAGGUCGCUGCACCUGUCGAACAACAACUUCACGGGUUGCUUUCCAGCAGUGUUGAAGAACUUCAAAAACCUUGUCAUUUUGGAUCUCGGGAAUAAUAAGAUGUCUGGCGCAGUUCCUCCGUGGAUAGGGGAAAGCAAUCCUUUGUUGAGGAUCCUUGGACCGCGAUCAAACAUGUUCUAUGGAAGUAUUCCCCGGCAGCUAUCAGAACUGUCUAAUCUCCAACUGCUUGAUCUAGCUGGAAAUAAUUUCGUAGGUACCAUACCAGAAAGCUUUGUCAACUUUUCCUUGAUGAGACAGACAUCCAUAAAGCAGCCGGUUAUAAUAAGUAGCAUAUUAUAUACUACUACCAACCAUGAAGAUUUUGAAAAUGGUCGCAUGGACAUAACUUGGAAGGGACGUGAGUACACCUUUCAGGGAAGAGAUGCAUUUGUGACUGGUAUUGAUCUCUCUGGCAAUUCUCUCUCUGGUGAAAUCCCUUCAGAGUUGACAAGUCUUAGAGGCAUACGGUUACUAAAUAUGUCAAGAAACUAUCUUUCUGGUGGUAUCCCCAAAGACAUUGGCAAUCUGAAGUGGUUAGAAUCCCUUGACCUCUCGUGGAACAAGCUAUCCGGUCCUAUUCCUCCUAGCAUAUCAAACCUGGUAUUCCUCUGCUCUCUUAAUCUCUCGAACAACCUUUUAUCAGGAGAGAUACCUACAGGCAAUCAACUCCAAACAUUGGACGACCCAUCAAUUUAUAGCAAUAACCUAGGACUUUGUGGCUCUCUGUUGAACAUUUCGUGUAUAAAUAGUUCAAGUCUGACAAUCACUUCACGUCAAGAUCUUGAAGCCAUUUGGAUGUACUACUCAGUGAUUGCUGGAACAUUUUUUGGUUUCUGGUUAUGGUUUGCUACAUUGUUUUUCUGCAAGGUCUGGAGAUGUGCUUUCUUGAGUUGCAUAGAUGCCAUGCAACAGAAGGUUAUGAAGAAGAUGACGCAUAUCUGGAGUACAGAAAGCUGCCCGAGUGUUGAAUGAUACCAAACUGAAUGAAUAUGAAACAAGAUGUAAGCGUCGUGAUAGUUUUCUAUGUUUGUAUUGCUGGUACGCUCAAGAACUAUGAAUGUGUUUAGUGGACAUAUUUUGUUUGAAGGUUCUAGACAAGUGUUGUAAUCGGCAUGGGAUUUCUGUUAUGCCGAUCUUUCUUUUCCUGAAUAAGUUUGUAGUACAGCUUUGGUCAGUGGUAAUGAUGCAUGUCUCACUCAUGUUUUUAAGUGUCUGUUGUAAAUCAAAUAAUAUUUGUAAAGCCUCUUGUGCUAGAAUUUCCCUGUUGAUCAGAUUUGAAGAGCAG
rnacentral:rRNA from 1 species